UGUAAUUCCUGCAGUUACAUAAACUCUUUUAAAUCAAAGUUGCCAACACACGCAGGAGAAAAAAAGAAGAUUUGUGCAACCUUGUAGAAGUUGACCAGAGACAUAGCAAAAAUGAAAUUGGAGUUAUUUUGCAUAAUUAUGUUAUUAUCAGUGCGAGUAGAAACCGGUGUAAUCAACUGGAAACAAGCGGUUGUGAAACACUACCAAAAAACAACUACAAGAGAUAACGUGGGCUCAAAAUGUAACACUGUCAAUGAAGAAGUAUGUGAAGAAUUUUGUGGCGGUGGAUUUUGUUACGAUGUUUGUGACACAAAACCCAGAAUAAACUGCAUAGCUUAAGACUUGGUGGAAUACUGUAUGCAACGUGUAAAUUACAGAACAAAUUGCAUAGCUUAAGGCUUGGUGGAACAUUUUAUGCAACGUUUAAAUUACAUAACAACAUUAUUUAUUUAUUUUUGCAUCACCAUUCGAAACAGGAACAAGUAAACGAAAAUGUAAUUAUGUAAAAUAUUAUUAUUUUGUAAGAUAUAUUUGUAGAGAAAUAUAUAUUAGUUAUAAAACAUGAAA